AGCAGCCGCGGUAAUUCCAGCUCCAAUAGCGUAUAUUAAAGUUGUUGCAGUUAAAAAGCUCGUAGUUGAAUUUCGGGGUUAGUAGGUUGGUCAUGCCUCUGGUAUGUACUGGUCUCACUGAUUCCUCCUUCCUGAUGAACCUUAAUGCCAUUUAUUUGGUGUUUUGGGGAAUUUGGACUGUUACUUUGAAAAAAUUAGAGUGUUUAAAGCAAGCUAACGCUUGAAUACAUUAGCAUGGAAUAAUGAAAUAGGACGUUCGGUCCUAUUUUGUUGGUUUCUAGGAUUGACGUAAUGAUUAAUAGGGAUAGUUGGGGGCAUUAGUAUUCAAUUGUCAGAGGUGAAAUUCUUGGAUUUAUUGAAGACUAACUACUGCGAAAGCAUUUGCCAAGGAUGUUUUCAUUAAUCAAGAACGAAAGUUAGGGGAUCGAAGACGAUCAGAUACCGUCGUAGUCUUAACCAUAAACUAUGCCGACUAGGGAUCGGAUGAUGUUAAUUUUUUAAUGACUCA
rnacentral:rRNA from 1 species